rnacentral:rRNA from 1 species
CGAAGGAUGCAAGCGUUAUCCGGAAUUAUUGGGUUUAAAGGGUGCGUAGGCGGACUGAUAAGUCAGUGGUGAAAGCCUGCAGCUUAACUGCAGAAUUGCCGUUGAUACUGUCAGUCUUGAGUACAGUUGAGGUAGCGGAAUGUGUCAUGUAGCGGUGAAAUGCUUAGAUAUGACACAGAACACCGAUUGCGAAGGCAGCUUGCUAAGCUGUAACUGACGCUGAGGCACGAAAGCGUGGGGAGCAA